AAGAGGGAACCCGGUGGGAAUCCGGGACUGCCCCGCAGCGGUGAGUGGGAACGACCGCCGUCAUACGCACUGGGCCCGAACGGGUCUGGGAAGCGACGGCCACUAGGUGUCUGCCCCGGCAGACGUGCCCGCGAGUCCGAAGACCU
rnacentral:ncRNA from 20 species